GCCGAGUUGGAGUUCCACUAAGCUGCAGGAUGUGGAGCGGGUCGCCGAGGGGCAGGACUAAGGCGAGACGUUGCCAGCAUGCCCCGUCGCCGUCAAGGCCCUACACGCCGACCAGUGCCGUACAGAUCUGUCGUGGCCGAUGCAGCAGUGACAAGCGAUUUGGAGGGAAAAAGCUGAUCCAGCCAUGGUCCUCGCCUAGGAGGAGGACGAGUUCCAUCACACCAGCAGCAGUUCAGGUCCAUGCUCGUCCUCUCUGCUCAUCUUGUGUACUUGUUCAAAUUCAGAAAUCCACACUAGC